GGGGAAUAUUGGACAAUGGGCGCAAGCCUGAUCCAGCAAUGCCGCGUGAGUGAUGAAGGCCUUCGGGUUGUAAACCGCUUUUGUCAGGGAAGAAAUCUUCUAGGUUAAUACCUCGGGAGGAUGACGGUACCUAAAGAAUAAGCACCGGCUAACUACGUGCCAGCAGCCGCGGUAAUACGUAGGGUGCAAGCGUUAAUCGGAAUUACUGGGCGUAAAGCGUGCGCAGGCGGUUAUGCAAGACAGAUGUGAAAUCCCCGAGCUCAGCUUGGGAACUGCAUUUGUGACUGCAUAGCUAGAGUACGGUAGAGGGGAGUGGAAUUCCGCGUGUAGCAGUGAAAUGCGUAGAUAUGCGGAGGAACACCGAUGGCGAAGGCAGCUCCCUGGACCUGUACUGACGCUCAUGCACGAAAGCGUGGGGAGCAAA
rnacentral:rRNA from 1 species